rnacentral:siRNA from 1 species
AGCAUGAUGUCUUUGUUUCAGC